rnacentral:rRNA from 1 species
CCUACGGGUGACAGCAGUGGGGAAUAUUGCACAAUGGGCGAAAGCCUGAUGCAGCCACGCCGCGUGUGCGAUGAAGGCCUUCGGGUCGUAAAGCUCUGUCCUCAAGGAAGAUAAUGACGAUACUUGAGGAGGCAGCCCCGGCUAACUACGUGCCAGCAGCCGCGGUAAUACGUAGGGGGCUAGCGUUAUCCGGAAUUACGGGUCGAAAGGGGUGCGUGGGUGGUUUCUUAAGUGAGAGGGGAAAGGGUACGGCUCAACCGUAGUAAGCCUUUGAAACUGGGAAACUUGAGUGCAGGAGAGGGGAGUUGAAUUCCAGGUGUAGCGGUGAAAUGCGUAGAUAUCAGGAGGAACACCAGUGGCGAAGGCGGCUCCCUGGACUGUAACUGACACUGAGGCACGAAAGCGUGGGGAGCAAACAGGAUUAGAUACCCUAGUAGUC